rnacentral:rRNA from 1 species
CCUACGGGCGGCAGCAGUGAGGAAUAUUGGUCAAUGGCCGGAAGGCUGAACCAGCCAAGUCGCGUGAGGGACGACUGCCCUAUGGGUUGUAAACCUCUUUUAUAAGGGAAGAAUAAAUGCUACGUGUAGCCUGAUGCCUGUACCUUAUGAAUAAGCAUCGGCUAACUCCGUGCCAGCAGCCGCGGUAAUACGGAGGCUGCGAGCGUUAUCCGGAUUUUGUGGGUUGAAAGGGUGCGUAGGCGGUUUUUUAAGUGAGUGGUUAAACGUCGGGGGUUCACCUUGAUUUGCCAUUAAUACUGUAAGGCUCGAGUUCAGACGAGGUAGGCGGAAUAAGUUAAGUAGCGGUGAAAUGCGUAGAUAUAACUUAGAACUCCGAUAGCGAAGGCAGCUUACCAGACUGCGACUGACGCUGAAGCACGAGAGCGUGGGUAGCGAACAGGAUUAGAUACCCGGGUAGUC